UACGGAGGAGGCAAGCGUUAUCCGGAAUUAUUGGGCGUAAAGCGUCCGCAGGUGGCACCUCAAGUCUGCUGUCAAAGACCGGGGCUUAACCCCAGAAAGGCAGUGGAAACUGAAGCGCUAGAGUGCAGUAGGGGUAGAGGGAAUUCCCGGUGUAGCGGUGAAAUGCGUAGAGAUCAGGAAGAACAUCGGUGGCGAAGGCGCUCUGCUGGACCAUAACUGACACUCAGGGACGAAAGCUAGGGGAGCGAAUGGG
rnacentral:rRNA from 1 species